UGGGGAAUAUUGGGCAAUGGGCGAAAGCCUGACCCAGCGACGCCGCGUGGGUGAUGAAGGCCUUCGGGUCGUAAAGCCCUGUCAGAAGGAAAGAACGAUCUUGUGGUGAAUACCCAUGAGAUGUGACGGUACCUUCGAAGGAAGCACCGGCCAAUUCCGUGCCAGCAGCCGCGGUAAGACGGAAGGUGCAAGCGUUGCUCGGAAUCACUGGGCGUAAAGGGUGCGUAGGCUGCCAACUAAGUCAGACGUGAAAUCCCUCGGCUUAACCGGGGAACUGCGUCUGAUACUGGAUGGCUUGAGAUUGGGAGAGGGAUGCGGAAUUCCAGGUGUAGCGGUGAAAUGCGUAGAUAUCUGGAGGAACACCGGUGGCGAAGGCGGCAUCCUGGACCAACACUGACGCUGAGGAGCGAAAGCCAGGGGAGCAAACGGGAUUAGAUACCCAAGUAGUCCCUGAGCGGGCUGGCAAGGCGCAU
rnacentral:rRNA from 1 species